GCAGACACAUUCCAGCCAAUCAGCAGCAGACCCUCCCUCCCAGACCCUCCCACCUCCUGGACAGCAUCCAUUGUGAAGCUGCAUUCUUAGUGAGCUGUCCAGGAGAUGGGAGGGUCUGGGAGGGAGGGUCUGCUGCUGAUUGGCUGGAAUGUGUCAG
rnacentral:miRNA from 1 species